AUUGAACGCUGGCGGCAGGCCUAACACAUGCAAGUCGAACGAGUGGCGGACGGGUGAGUAAUGUCUGGGAAACUGCCUGAUGGAGGGGGAUAACUACUGGAAACGGUAGCUAAUACCGCAUACCAUCAGAUGUGCCCAGAUGGGAUUAGAUAGUUGGUGGGGUAACGGCUCACCAAGGCGCCGAUCCCUAGCUGGUCGGAGAGGAUGACCAGCCACACUGCAACUGAUGCACGGGACAGACUCCGACGGGAGUCAGCAGUGGGGAAUAUUGCACAAUGGGCGCAAGCCUGAUGCAGCCAUGCCGCGUGUAUGAAGAAGGCCUUCGUGUUGUAAAGUACGUUCAGCGGGGAGGCGUUACCCGCAGAAGAAGCACCGGCUAACUCCGUGCCAGCAGCCGCGGUAAUUC
rnacentral:rRNA from 1 species